GACGAACGCUGGCGGCGUGCUUAACACAUGCAAGUCGAACGGAAAGGCCCUGCUUUUGUGGGGUGCUCGAGUGGCGAACGGGUGAGUAACACGUGAGUAACUUGCCCUUGACUGUGGGAUAACUUCAGGAAACUGGGUCUAAUACCGGAUAGGAGCUCCUGCGGCAUGGUGGGGGUUGGAAAGUUUCGGCGGUUGGGGAUGGAUUCGCGGCUUAUCAGCUUGUUGGUGGGGUAGUGGCUUACCAAGGCUUUGACGGGUAGCCGGCCUGAGAGGGUGACCGGCCACAUUGGGACUGAGAUACGGCCCAGACUCCUACGGGAGGCAGCAGUGGGGAAUAUUGCACAAUGGGCGGAAGCCUGAUGCAGCAACGCCGCGUGCGGGAUGACGGCCUUCGGGUUGUAAACCGCUUUAGCCUGUGACGAAGCGUGAGUGACGGUAAUGGGUAAAGAAGCACCGGCUAACUACGUG
rnacentral:rRNA from 1 species